CCUACGGGAGGCAGCAGCAGGGAAUCUUGCGCAAUGGGCGAAAGCCUGACGCAGCGACACCGCGUGGGGGAAGAAGGCCUCAGGGUUGUAAACCCCUUUUCUGUGGGAAGAGAUAGGACGGUACCACAGGAAUAAGCAUCGGCUAACUACGUGCCAGCAGCCGCGGUAAUACGUAGGAUGCAAGCGUUGUCCGGAUCUACUGGGCGUAAAGGGUGUGUAGGCGGCAUGUUAAGUCUCAUGUGAAAUCUCCCGGCUCAACUGGGAGGGGUCAUGGGAAACUGGCAAGCUGGAGGGCAGCAGAGGAAAGCGGAAUUCCGGGAGUAGUGGUGGAAUGCGUAGAUACCCGGAGGAACACCAGAGGCGAAGGCGGCUUUCUGGGCUGUACCUGACGCUGAGACACGAAAGCGUGGGGAGCGAACCGGAUUAGAUACCCGGGUAGUCCACGCCCUAAACGAUGGAUACUAGAUAUAGGGGGUAUUGACCCCUCCUGUGUCGGAGUUAACGCGAUAAGUAUCCCGCCUGGGGAGUACGGCCGCAAGGCUAAAACUCAAAGGAAUUGACGG
rnacentral:rRNA from 1 species